GACGUAGGGCGCGAGCGUUGUCCGGAUUUAUUGGGCGUAAAGAGCUCGUAGGCGGCUUGUCACGUCGAUUGUGAAAGCCCGAGGCUUAACCUCGGGUCUGCAGUCGAUACGGGCUAGCUAGAGUGUGGUAGGGGAGAUCGGAAUUCCUGGUGUAGCGGUGAAAUGCGCAGAUAUCAGGAGGAACACCGGUGGCGAAGGCGGAUCUCUGGGCCAUUACUGACGCUGAGGAGCGAAAGCGUGGGGAGCAAACAGG
rnacentral:rRNA from 1 species